rnacentral:ncRNA from 1 species
CGUUGACACCGUCCCCGUGGCUCCCAUACUUUUCAAAGUCGACCCUGAUGGUAGAAGGAAGCCGGUGUGACUCCGGCACGGCCGCGCCACUGUGAUUGAUCCUCGACCGGGGAUCACAGUCAGACCCUCCACCGUCGCCUGCUCCAA